UGGAGGCAACACGGCAUGCUUGACAUACAGAAUGAGGCCAUCCAAUCUUUUCAAGCUGAUCUUAGGGAAUUCCUAGAUUUUCUUGGGAUAAUCCAGAGACAUCAGGCCUCACUCCGAGAAGCCGCCUGGCAAGGGCACUUAACCCUGCCCUUUGUGGAAGUACCGCUAUAAAGGAAGCGCCGGCAAAGACAAAGGCGUUUUUCACCGGGAGACCGGAACGAGCCACACGGCAGAGCAUGUGACUCUCGACAAGAUUAUUCCUGUGAAAGAAAUCCCUGAUUGGGAUAGCGCAUUGGUGCUAUUUUCAUUGCUUUUGUUUAUUUUGUUUGUUUCGUCUCACGACGAUUAAAAGGGACGACUCGGUUGGUGUCCCAACAUUC